UACGGAGGAGGCAAGCGUUAUCCGGAAUUAUUGGGCGUAAAGCGUCCGCAGGUGGCACUUCAAGUCUGCUGUCAAAGACCGGGGCUUAACUUCGGAAAGGCAGUGGAAACUGAACAGCUAGAGUAUGGUAGGGGCAGAGGGAAUUCCCGGUGUAGCGGUGGAAUGCGUAGAGAUCGGGAGGAACACCUAUGGCGAAGGCAGCUCGCUGGGACGUUACUGACGCUGAGACGCGAAAGCGUGGGGAGCAAACAGG
rnacentral:rRNA from 1 species